GAAAAAGAGAAAAGAAGAGGAAGAGAGGAGAAGAGAGAAAAAGAGCAUAGAAGAAGAAAAGAGAUAGAGAGAAAAGAAAAAGAGACAAGAGAAAAAAAAAGAGAAUAAAAGAAGAAAAGAGAAGAAAAGAAGGAGAGAGAAGAAAAGAAGAAAAGAGAAGAGAAGAAGAAAGGAAGAGAGAAGGGCAAGAGAGAAUAGAAGGGGAAGACCAAACUCCACCAUUGUAUGUUCACUUUUGAGAUAAAUGAGAAUUGAGUUUUUGAAAUCUAGAAUCAAUUGCUCCUUUGAAGUCAAGGCUAUGGAAUCUUAGGGAUCCUUCUCUAACCACCUUCCAAGCACGCUUGAGUAAUUUUUCGUUUUGAAUCCAAUUUUGUUUUUGUUAACUGUCAUGUGCAUGAGUUAA
rnacentral:lncRNA from 1 species